rnacentral:rRNA from 1 species
UACAGAGGUCCCAAGCGUUGUUCGGAUUCACUGGGCGUAAAGGGUGCGUAGGUGGCUUGGUAAGUUCGAUGUGAAAUCUCCGGGCUUAACCCGGAAAUGGCAUUGAAUACUAUUGAGCUGGAGGUUUGGAGGGGGGACUGGAAUUCUCGGUGUAGCAGUGAAAUGCGUAGAUAUCGGGAGGAACACCAGUGGCGAAGGCGGCUUUCUGGCUCGCAACUGACGCUGUAGCGCGAAAGCGUGGGGAGCGAACGGG